GUUAGGAAUAUUGGACAAUGGGCGCAAGCCUGAUCCAGCCAUGCCGCGUGAGUGAUGAAGGCCUUCGGGUUGUAAAGCUCUUUAGCCGAUGAUUAUAAUGACUGUAGUCGGAAAAUAAGCCCCGGCUAACUUCGUGCCAGCAGCCGCGGUAAUACGAAGGGGGCGAGCGUUAUUCGGAAUCACUGGGCGUAAAGCGUGCGUAGGCGGCUUUGCAAGUUGGGAGUGAAAGCCCAGGGCUCAACCCUGGAAUUGCUCUCAAAACUGCAAGGCUCGAAUUCGGGAGAGGAUAGCGGAAUUGUCAGUGUAGCAGUGAAAUGCGUAGAUAUUGACAGGAACACCAGUGGCGUAAGCGGCUAUCUGGACCGAUAUUGACGCUGAGGCACGAAAGCGUGGGGAUCAAACAGGAUUAGAAACCCUGUAGUCC
rnacentral:rRNA from 1 species